rnacentral:rRNA from 1 species
AAUCCAUAGGUUAAUGAGGCGAACCGGGGGAACUGAAACAUCUAAGUACCCCGAGGAAAAGAAAUCAACCGAGAUUCCCCCAGUAGCGGCGAGCGAACGGGGAGGAGCCCAGAGCCUGAAUCAGCAUGUGUGUUAGUGGAAGCGUCUGGAAAGGCGCGCGAUACAGGGUGACAGCCCCGUACACAAAAGCGCAUGUGCUGUGAGCUCGAUGAGUAGGGCGGGACACGUGGUAUCCUGUCUGAAUAUGGGGGGACCAUCCUCCAAGGCUAAAUACUCCUGACUGACCGAUAGUGAACCAGUACCGUGAGGGAAAGGCGAAAAGAACCCCGGCGAGGGGAGUGAAAAAGAACCUGAAACCGUGUACGUACAAGCAGUGGGAGCCCCACCACCAAAGCAUUUGCUGUACCGCGUUGACGGAGCGAAGCGACGUCAAACCGAUAAAACAGCAGUGUAAAGUGAGCCGCAGGGCGCUUUGCGCGACAGCGCAAAGGCAGGCGGUUUCGC